rnacentral:rRNA from 1 species
CAGCAGCCGCGGUAAUACGAAGGGGGCUAGCGUUGCUCGGAAUCACUGGGCGUAAAGGGUGCGUAGGCGGGUCUUUAAGUCAGGGGUGAAAUCCUGGAGCUCAACUCCAGAACUGCCUUUGAUACUGAAGAUCUUGAGUUCGGGAGAGGUUAGUGGAACUGCGAGUGUAGAGGUGAAAUUCGUAGAUAUUCGCAAGAACGUCAGUGGCGAAGGCGGCUCACUGGCCCGAUACUGACGCUGAGGCACGAAAGCGUGGGGAGCAAACAGGAUUAGAUACCCCCGUAGUCCCUGUCUCUUAUAC